GGUAGCAUAAUUAGUAGUUUUUUAAUUGAAGGCUUGUAUGAAGGGUUGGACAAAGGAUAAGCUGUCUUUAUUUUUGUUUUUGAAUUUAUCUUUUAAGUGAAAAGACUUAAAUGAUUUCAAGGGACGAUAAGACCCUAUAAAUCUUUAUAUUAAUAUAAUUUUAUUUUAAUUUUUAAUGUUUGUAAAAAUGGAAAUGUAAGUAUUGUAUUGGGGUGAUAAGAAUAAUUAAUAAACUGUUCUAAAAAUAAACAAAAUUAUUUGAUAAAUAGUAGAUCCUUUUUAGAGAUUGAAAGUUUAAGUUACUUUAGGGAUAACAGCGUUAUUUUUUUUGAGAGUUCUAAUCGAAAAAAAAGUUUGCGACCUCGAUGUUGAAUUAAAAUUUCUUUGUGGUGCAGUAGUUACAAAAGAGAGUCUGUUCGACUUUUAAAAUUUUACGUGAUCUGA
rnacentral:rRNA from 1 species